UACGUAGGGGGCGAGCGUUGUCCGGAAUUAUUGGGCGUAAAGAGCGUGUAGGCGGUUCGGUAAGUCUGCCGUGAAAACCUGGGGCUCAACCCCGGGCGUGCGGUGGAUACUGCCGGGCUAGAGGGUGGUAGAGGCGAGUGGAAUUCCCGGUGUAGCGGUGAAAUGCGCAGAUAUCAGGAAGAACACCUAUGGCGAAGGCAGCUCUCUGGGACGGUACUGACGCUGAGACGCGAAAGCGUGGGGAGCAAACAGG
rnacentral:rRNA from 1 species